UCCCGGUGGGAAACGAAGUUUCUUCUCUUUUCCGUUAACAGUUUAAGGAUCUCAUUCAAACAACCGACGGCUUUCUGAGGCUGCCUGCUCCACUUCUUUCCCGCUGCGCUCACGACAACCCUGCAGGCUUCUUAAUGACCCAGGCUGAAAAAUGCAACACAGCAGUCAAAGUGGAUGAAUGCGGCACCCUUCCUGAACUCAGCAUGCCGUUUUACACCAAUUUUAGCAUUUUGGCGGUACCCAAUUCGAGCCAAACAGUUAACCUCACCAUCCAGUCCAUCACAAUUCAGACGCCAGAGGGGCUGCGCACUCGCCUGGCCAACGCAGACGUUGUGUUGCUCCCUGCAUUAAAUAAUCAGUCGUGCAGCAACGUCAUUCUUGAGGUAGGCAGCUCUCACCAUUUCAUGCAGGGACGACAAACUUUUGCACUUAAUCCCAGAGAAAACGCGGAAUGUUUCACAGUGUCUUCACUACCUCGGUUAAAGCUCUGUGCUAAACCAAGAUUUAUGUCUGGCAGGUCCAACCUUUUGGCUUGCUUGGACUGCCUUGAGUGA
rnacentral:lncRNA from 1 species